rnacentral:rRNA from 1 species
CGCUGGCGGCGUGCUUAACACAUGCAAGUCGAACGAUGAAAUUCUGACGGAGGCUUCGGCCAACUGAAGGAUGGAUUAGUGGCGGACGGGUGAGUAACGCGUGAGUAACCUGCCUCUCAGAGUGGAAUAACAUUUGGAAACGAAUGGUAAUACCGCAUGAUGUCACGGAACCGCAUGAUUCUGUGACCAAAGGAGAAAUCCGCUGAUAGAUGGGCUUGCGUCUGAUUAGAUAGUUGGUGGGGUAACGGCCUACCAAGUCGACGAUCAGUAGCCGGACUGAGAGGUUGAACGGCCACAUUGGGACUGAGAUACGGCCCAGACUCCUACGGGAGGCAGCAGUCGGGAAUAUUGCGCAAUGGAGGAAACUCUGACGCAGUGACGCCGCGUGCAGGAAGAAGGUUUUCGGAUUGUAAACUGCUUUAGACAGGGAAGAAAAAAGACAGUACCUGUAGAAUAAGCUCCGGCUAACUACGUG